GACGAAGUGGCCGAGUGGUUAAGGCGGUGGACUGCUAAUCCACUGGGAUUUUCCCGCGUGAGUUCGAAUCUCAUCUUCGUCG
rnacentral:tRNA from 1 species